rnacentral:rRNA from 1 species
CCUACGGGAGGCAGCAGUGGGGAAUAUUGGGCAAUGGGCGCAAGCCUGACCCAGCAACGCCGCGUGAAGGAAGAAGGCUUUCGGGUUGUAAACUUCUUUUAUCAGGGACGAAGCUAGUGACGGUUCCUGAUGAAUAAGCCACUGCUAACUAGGUGCCAGCAGCAGCGGUAAUACGUAGGUGGCAAGCGUUAUCCGGAUUUACUGGGUGUAAAGGGCGAGUAGGCGGGAGUGGAAGUCAGAUGUGAAAACUAUGGGCUCAACCCAUAGCCUGCAUUUGAAACUGUGCUACUUGAGUGCUGGAGGGGCAAGCGGAAUUCCGUGUGUAGCGGUGAAAUGCGUAGAUAUACGGAGGAACACCAGUGGCGAAGGCGGAUUGCUGGACAGUAACUGACGCUGAGGCGCGAAAGCGUGGGGAGCAAACAGGAUUAGAUACCCGGGUAGUC